ACGCCAUUCUCCUGCCUCAGCCUCCCGAGUAGCUGGGACUACAGGCGCCCGCCACUGCGCCCGGCUAAUUUUUUGUAUUUUUAGUAGAGAGGGGGUUUCACCGUGGUCUCGAUCUCCUGACCUCGUGAUCCGCCCGCCUCAGCCUCCCAAAGUGCUGGGAUUACAGGCGUGAGCCACCGCGCCCGGCCAGUUCAAUGGAUUUUAAAAAUUAUUAUUCUCUAGAAAAAAGACCACGAACUUUGGAGUGGACAUCCUGAGACCUGCCUACGAAGACCAUUAGGUGGCCUCCAGAAGACACUCCCCUGAUUCCUACACCGAGGGAACACACAGCAGCAAGCUAGGAAAGAAGGGGUGACCCAGCCCAACGCUGUAAACCAGGGCGCGAACCGGCGUUGAGCUGUGCAGCUGCGCCCUGGGCUCCAGUCCUGCUCUGCCGCAGACCCCACCGGAGCCAGCACCUGCCUCCCCGACCCUCGCUGGGGCGGCUGUGAGAUGAGCCCAGAGCCUUCCUGAGCCAACCCUCGCAAGGAAAGUCUGUCUGUUCACCCCACUAUCCUUGUCUUGAAGGAUGAAGAAAAGAGGGCCCCCCGGGAGGUCCCAAAAGGUGGAAUGGACAUCUGGGAUCCAAGCACAGCAAUUUCUUUAUUUUUCUUAAGCCUCUCACUAGAGGAUGAAAAUCGUUCUGCAUAAAGGCCUGGGCUUUAUGAAAAAUAUAUUCACACCUCCCGUGUCCGAGCUGGGAUACCAAAGAAGUUCCUGGUUGAGUACUACUUAUGAAUGAAGGAUUCAGGGGAUGCACAGGACACAGAGGAAUCUGGGGGAUAUUAUGGUUCUGGGAAUGUGGAAUGUAACGUCUCAUCUUCAGCCCAUCUGUGCUACUGAUCAUCUCAUUCCAGAAGCCAUGCCUUCUCUCAGGAGCAGACAGCACAAGACUUUCCUGCCAGAGGCACAGUCCCCAGUGGGAGUAGCAUCCACAUAAGACAGGAUGCAGAGAUGUCUUCAAGCAGCUUCAAACAAAACUUCAAGAAAGAAAGUGCAAGUGAAAAAGGAAAUUCAUCCUUCCAGUCACUUAACACAGCACUGUCACGGACACCUUGUGCCUCCUUAAAAUUCGUAUACUGAAGUUCUAAGCCCCAGUACCCCAGAAUGUGACCUUCUUUGGAAAUAGGGUCAUUGCAGAUAUGAUUAGUUAAGAGGAGAUCAUACUGGAGUGGGCUUUAAUCCAAUAUGACUGGUGUCCUUAUGUAAAGGGGAAAUUUGGACACAGACACACACAAGGAGAACACCAUGUGAACUGAAGUCAAAGAUUUGGGUGAUGCUUCUACAAGCCAAGAAAUGCCAAAGAUGACCAGCAAAGCACCGGCAGCUGGUGGAGGAGCCUGGACCAGAUUCUUCCUCACAGCCCUCAAAAGGAACCAAUCUUGCCAAAGCUUUGACUUAGACUUCUAGCCCCCUGUGAUGGUUAAUGUUAAGUGGCAGCUUGACUGGGUUAAGGGAUGCCCAGAUAGCUGGUAAGACAGUAUGUCUGUGUGCAUCUCUCAGAGUGUUUCUGGACAAGAUCAGCAUUUGAAUCCUUAGAGUAAAGAAGAUCUGCCCUCACCCACGUGCAUCACCCUAUCUCUGGAGAGCGCGAACAAACAGGAGGAAGGGCACAUAUGCUCCUUCUGUUCCAGCUGGCACAUCCAUCUUCUCCUGCCCCCUGACUUCAGAGCUCCUGGUUCUCGGGCCUCAGGAUUCCAGCACUUACAUGAGAGCGUGCUUCCCCCUCCCUACUCCACCCCUAGGUUCUCCGCCCUUUGGCCUCUGACUGAAUUCCACCACCAGCUUUUCAGGGUCUCCAGCUUGCAGACGGCAGAUCGUGGGACUUCUUGGCCUCCAUAAUUAUGUAAGCCAAUUCCCAUAAUAAAUCUCCUAUCUAUCUAUCUAUCUAUCCAUCUAUCAAUCAUCUAUCUAGUCUAUCUAUCUAUCUAUCUCUAUCCUAUUGAUUCUGUGUCUCUGAGGAACCCUAAUACACCUCCAGAACUGUGAGAUGAUACAUUUCUGUGGUUUAAGCCACUCAGAAGGUGGUACUUUGUUUCACCAGGCCUAGCAAACUAAUACAAGUGCAUGGAAGGUGACUACUCAUGACUGCAACUUAGAGAACAAGGGUUAUAAUAAAAAUAAAAGUGUUAUACAAAGGUGGCAAGAUAAAUGACAAUAAAUGAAAAUAUUAACAUGUGAAUUAAAAAGUAAAGAUAUUUUUCCUAGCAUUCUCCCAGAAAGUAGAGACGCGUCUCUCUUGUUUGCCAUCAUAUCCAGCAAUGGCAAGAUAAGUUCUAGGCACUUCAUAAAAAUUUGUUGAAUGAAA
rnacentral:lncRNA from 1 species